ensembl:snoRNA
UAAUGAUGAAGUAAACCAAAAUAAGCUGGAAUUACCGGCAGACUGUCGGUGGUGAGAAGGUUUUUUCUGAAU